rnacentral:tRNA from 1 species
GAUAAGAUGCCUGAGUAAAGGGCUAUUUUGAUAGAAUAGAUAACGUAAUUUUUAACUCUUAUUA